rnacentral:tRNA from 1 species
AUCCGUCGAAUUUGAAAAUCGUGUGGUUCAAAGUCCCUCUAUCCCCA